CCCAGCUGUAGACACCUGCCUAGGUUACCUUGUACCUUCCUAGGCAAGUGUUCCACUGCUGGGAGAAGAGCAGCCAGCAGCUGGUGGGCAUU
ensembl:snoRNA SNORA74 Small nucleolar RNA SNORA74